rnacentral:rRNA from 1 species
GACGAACGCUGGCGGCGUGCUUAACACAUGCAAGUCGAACGGAAAGGCCCUGCUUUUGUGGGGUGCUCGAGUGGCGAACGGGUGAGUAACACGUGAGUAACCUACCCUUGACUUUGGGAUAACUUCAGGAAACUGGGGCUAAUACCGGAUAGGAGCUCCUGCUGCAUGGUGGGGGUUGGAAAGUUUCGGCGGGUGGGGAUGGACUCGCGGCUUAUCAGCUUGUUGGUGGGGUAGUGGCUUACCAAGGCUGUGACGGGUAGCCGGCCUGAGAGGGUGGCCGGCCACAUUGGGACUGAGACACGGCCCAGACUCCUACGGGAGGCAGCAGUGGGGAAUAUUGCACAAUGGGCGGAAGCCUGAUGCAGCAACGCCGCGUGCGGGAUGACGGCCUUCGGGUUGUAAACCCCUUUCGCCAGUGACGAAGGGUGAGUGACGGUAGUUGGUAAAGAAGCACCGGCUAACUACGUG